AACAACAAACUACUUAUAUUAUUAGCCAACACUUUUGAGGUUUAGUUACUUAAGAGUAUGCAAAAAAAAUAAUAUAUAUUACUUUACCAUUCUAGUAUAGGUAAAUUAUGUAUAAACUAAGAACCGUUUGAUUUAUUAAAUGAUAAACUAGAAAACAUAUAAUAAAUAGCUCAUAUCUCUCAUUCUUACAAUUAUAAUAGCUAGAUAGGGUAUUAAGGAGAAACAAAUAUUAGAUGAAUGAUCAAAUCUCUCAUUAUUCGAAUAAACUCAAAAAGAAGUGAUUGAAAUCUUUCAUUAAAAUCUUUUUAGAAAUAAAAAUCAAAACUAAAUUAUUUAAUCUGAAUGAAAUAAUAUAUAUAGUGUUUCCAAUAUUAAAAAUCAAUUAGAUUUGAAAAAGUGUGUUUCUCGGAUUGUUAGGAUUAAAUAAGAUAUUAGAAACCAGCUAUUUAAAAAAUAAUUUAUAUACAUUAGAGUAAUCACAUAAAUCAAAACUAAUAUUUUUUGUUAAUUUACAAUCACGUUUUUGUAAAUAAAUUAAAACAAUAAUUUUAUUUAAUUUAUAUGGUAUAAAAUAAAGUUUAGUGAUAUUGACAUAGAUACAUAAUAUAUUUUAAUAUAAAUAUUUAUUAUUGACACUUUCUACUCAUAUGAUUUUUUAACAUUUGUAUAUUUGUUGUAAUAAAAAUUAGCUGUAUAUUUGUACAUUUGUAUAUUUGUUGUAUGCAUAAAAGCAUAUAUAUUAGAGUGGGCACAUAAAUUAAAACCAAUACUUUUUGUUAAUUUACAAUCAUGUUUUUGGUAAAUAAAUCAAAACAAUUAUUUUAUUUACUUUAUAUGGUAUAAAUUAAACUUUAGUGAUAUUGACAUAGAUACAUAGUAUAUUUUAAUAUAAAUAUUUAUUAUUGACACUUCCCACUCAUAUGAUUUUUUAACAUUUGUAUAUUUGUUGUAAUAAAAAUUUAAACCAUUAAUCACAAACUUUUAAUGUGAGAUUUUUUAACACAAAUUUCAUAAUUAAAAUAUUAAGAUCUCAAUAAUUUUUCACUACAAAUUUUGAAAUUAACAUAUUAAUUUUUGAAAUUAACAUAUUAAUUUAUAUACUUUUAUAUUGUAUAUAAUUUAUUUCAAAUGUUAUUAAUAUAUAUAUAUAAGAUGAAUAUCUAUUAAUAAGACUUAAUAUUUAUACGAUUUAUUAGGUCUGUGAAUUUUAUCUGAUACCCGAACCCGUGUCUGAAUUCCAGCCAAAAAUACAAACCGAAAUAGCAAAAUACACGAACGGUUAUUGAAUUCGGAUAGAUUGGAUAUCCGAAUGGGUAAUAUCCAAAUCGGAAUGUAUAUCCAAAAAUAACCAAACAUAAGUAUACUUAACCCUAUAUUUUUAGUUUACUUCUCUCAUUUUAUUCAAAAUAUUUAUAUUAAUGAUGUACAUUGCUCAAAAUUAGAUUAUAUACAAAUAAUUAUGAACAAAAUCAUUUACUACUCACUUAAAAUACACAUCGAGCUCUUGUUUUUUGCAUUAACAAAAGUUUCAUCUGAAAUUUCAAAACAACAACUAAAUUGGUGUCUUUCUAUUUUUAAAGUUUUAUCUCCAAACUUAUUAAUAGUUUAAUCUUUUAAAAAUUAGAAAGCCAAUAAAGUUAAAAUUAUAUUUGAAAUACAAAGAAAAAACUUAAACAAUGAAUAAGUUAUUUAUUUUUCUUCAAAAUUUAAAUAUCGAAACCCGACCAAAAUAUCUUAACCUGAACAUAAAACACCCGAAUCCGACCCGAAGUGUAGAAAUACCCGAACGGUUUCUAUACCUUUAUACUGAAAUACCCAAAAAUCCUAAAUACCUGAUAUGAACCCGAACGGAUAUCCGAACGCCCACCCCUACGAUAUAUGAUCAUUUGUAUCUUGCUUGAACAAAAAAAAGUUAAACCAUUGAUCACAAAAUUUUCAAUGUGGGACUUUUACCAUUUUUAGUAAUUUAUAGUAUUUUUAGAAAAAUCAAACUAAAAAUUCGAAUUUUUUUUAUUACAUGCAUAAUGUAAUUGUUUAAGUUCUCUUAAUAAUAUAAAAUUAAACCAAAAAAAAGAGGAUACACAAAUUAUUAUCAAAUAUGUAUUAUUGAUAAUCAUUAAUUAUCGUAUCUAUACUAUUAAAGUAGAAUUCAUGACUUCUUUCAUGUGUGAUAUUUUAAAUGGGCCAUCCCCAGAAAGUUACUUAUACUUUUUUUCUUUAUAUUUUCAUGAUAAAAUCCUAACAACCUAUUUAAUUCUCUUUUUAUUACAGCAAUAUAUUAUUAGAUGUACAUAAUUUUAAAAAUAUAAUAUUCCAUCAAUAUAUAAUUAUAUUUGCAUAUAACCAGUUAUAAUCUACUUAAUAAUAAUAAAAUUUAAUUAUUCUAGAGUUUAUACUUUUAUAUGAUUUAAUUAAUAUUAAUAAUAAAAUUUAUUAUGCAAAUACAAUAAUGUUAGAAUUUUACCUUGCAAAUAAUAAAUCGAAUCAAAUGUUAAAAAUCCUAACACUAUUGUAUUUGCAUAAUAAAUGUUAUUAUUAUUAAUUAUAUUUUACAAGUAUCAAUAUUUAUAUAGGUACUGUAUUAACAAACAUGUAUUAAAAUAUAUUAUAUUUUAAAAUACAAUACUAUAGAUUCAAUCAUAUACUGUUUUUAUAAUAAAUUGCUUAAUAUAUAUAUAUAUAUAUAUAUAUAUAUAUAUACUGUUGUGAUUGAAAUUUUCAUGCGUGAUUUCAUAAAUUUUAAAUAUGUAUAAAUUUAAAAUUUAAAAUAAAAAUAUGUAAAGUAGUAUUGUUACAUAAUAAUGUUUUCAAAAUAAUUGUUUGUACAAAAAUACAAAUUUAUAGUAAUAAUAUAUAAGCCACAUAAACAUAGCUAUUAUAAAAAUACAUAAUAUAAAACACUUAAUUGCAUUAAGUUAUUUGUAAAUUUUGUUAUACUCCCUCUGUAUACAAAUAUAGAUGUUUUAGUUUUUUUUCUUUGUAUACAAAUGUAUGAUGUUUUACUUUUAACUAAUGAAAUUUUCUUUAAAAAUAAAAUAUUAAUCAAAAUGUAAAAAUUUAAGUGGUUGAAUUUUUAUUGGAAAUCAAAUAAAACUUUAAACUAACUAAAAUAAAAACCAAAAAGUAAUAGAUAAAAAUAAAUAUUUAAUUUCUCUUAAUAUGUGUUAACAACCUUACACAUCCUAUAUUUGUAUCAAGAGGGAGUAUAAACUAAAAUAUUUAAGUAUAGAAAUAAAAAACCGCACUAAUUCCGUAGCUUUUAUUUAAGGAAAUAAAAAAAUAUUAUUUUGUAAACUAUUAAUUAAUUUGAUAGUUAUUUUAGUUAAAAACAUAGUAUAUAUUUAUAUGGACCAACUUAUUUUUUUAAGAAUUCUAAGAAUCACGCUCUUGAUGACACGUGGCUACGAAUAUGUUGUAAUGCUCAAUGAUUUAUAUAUAGGGGAUUUUUCCCAUAAGCAAUUUUACUUAGGUUUGACCAUUUUGUCAACAACUUAUUAUAACACAUUAACUUUAGUUUCUGGAAAUAUUUACAUUCUUAGGAAAAAAACUCAAGUAACCGAAGAUCGGGGAAGCAUUGCAUUAACAUGGGAAUAUGUGUAUUUUUGAUGUUUAAUUCAUAGUAAAUCCCGUUAUUCAUCAAAUUUGCAUGCAUGCGAAGCUAAGCAUAAUUUACGGGUACACAUGACAUUGAUGGAGCUUUCCCAAUUAUAAAAACCGCACCGACGACCUCAACAAAGUAAAACAAUCAAUUAAACACAAUUAAAAAAAAAAUGACGUUUGCUUCAAAGAUCAUCACAUGCCUCCUCGUCCUUACGAUCUACAUUGCAGCUCCAACAGAGUCACACAUAACGUGUGGGACAGUGACAAGCACAAUGACACAAUGCAUCAGCUACUUGACCAACGGUGGUCCAUUGCCGUCAAGCUGCUGUGUGGCAGUCAAAUCAUUGAACCAAAUGGCUCAGACCACACCAGAUCGCCGACAAGUAUGUGAGUGCCUUAAAUCAGCCGGUAAGGAAAUUAAAGGCCUCAAUAUCGACCUUGUGGCCGCACUCCCUACCACUUGUGGUGUUUCACUUUCCUACCCCAUUGGUUUCAACACCAAUUGUGACAGGUACUUGUCCAUAUAUAACUUUGUUUUUGGUUUUAUAUUAGAUCGUUUUGCUUCUUUCUAGAUUAUCGAUAUAAUUUUCACAGCUGUUUCCACAGUAUAUCUUGAAAGCUAGUUCUCGAUCUACUUGACUCCAAAAUAUAUAAAAGAAAAUGGAUUUGGACUAAUUAAACUACCAGAUAAACACAUAGUUCACUAUAGUCGAUAGUAUAUUGUUGUAUGGUUUGUUACCAGUGACAUGAUACAUUAUUGUUUUGUUUUUUGGAAUGUUACAGUAUAUCGAUUGCCGUGUGAAGGAGACUAGAGACGUACGAACGAAUAAGAAGAGUUGGCCCAACUUUAACCUAAACAAUAAUUAUCCCGCUGCUAUUUUCUAUUUUAUGACUUGAGUUUCUUAUUAUGUAAUCAUCCAUUUCAUAUGGUAAUAAGUAAUAACGAUAAAGGAGCUCUCUCUCUCUUUAUCGGCGCUUUGAUGUAUGUACGCCUAACAUACCAUCAGGAAUAACACUUUGUCUUUCUCUUACAUGUAAUAUAUAUGAUCAAGAGGUUGCAUGAACUAAUGAGCUUUUACCUAACCGCAUAUAUAUAAAGUUAUAGCAUCCAUGAAAAAGGUUUGGCAUAUAAACAUGUUUUGCAAGGUCAAUACAAAGGAUAUCGUUUUAGUCUUCUAAGAAUGUAAAUUUCAUUACUAUUGUAUUGUAUGUUUGAUACAAGAGAACCUGAAUCCAAAGGAUAUCAGACAAAAUGGGUAUUCGAUAUCAGACCACCGGUUCUACAUGUAUGUCAAAUAUUUGUUGUGAGUGUACGUUGUUUGGAUUAAUUUAUAUAUAUAUACUAGUGGUAUUCCGGCGCUACGCGCCGGGUUCAUAUUUUUUUAUUCUUUAAUGAAUUCAAUCAUUUGCUUAUAGAAAUAACAGUUUUUGCAUAUCUUCUUGAUGUUUAGUAAUUAAGUUUGGGGGAUCAACUUGGGGUUCCGUUUGCCAAACUAAAUUAUCAAUACGUUUGUGCUGUUUAUUAAUUUAACAAUUUUAUUUGUUUUGUUUGGUUAUUUGUAGGUUUUAUUUAAAAAUUAAGCUACUGUUUUAUGCAUUUGUAUUUAGCUGGAUUUUUCUAUGUUAUGUGCAUGUGAUACUAAGAAUGUUGCACUCAGACAGUUUGUACCGGCUACUUAUGUAUUAUAGCUACUAUAUGUGGCUUCGUAUGUCAUUUGGGGGUCUUAGUUAUGGCUUAGCUUAGGUUGGGUUUUUUUUGACAGACACAAUGAAAAAAGAGUUGUCCAAAAAAAAACACAAUGAAAAAAUUUGCGAUAGUAGUUAAAGUGAAAACAGAAGCAAAAGCUCAAGUAAAAAAAAACAGAAAAAUUUCUAGGGAAAACUGAAACAAUAGCAAUGUACCAACAAUCCCAAAGAAAAGUAAAAAUUUAUAAAUAUUAAUUAGAAUCUAUAUAUUCGAUUUGAAAAUGAGUAAAAUUUAAUUAGACUUGUAAAUAUAUAUAAGAUUUGCAAAUCAAUUAAAUUGCAUAAAUGAUUGACACCCUUAAACUUUUGAUAAAAAUAAAGUAAAAAUCAAAACUGAGCAGCAAACCAACAUAUGCUGAGUCGCUCAAAUAAGAUAAUUCUUAUAUAUAUAUAUAUAUAUAUAUAUAUAUAUACUGUUGUGAUUGAAAUUUUCAUGCGUGAUUUCAUAAAUUUUAAAUAUGUAUAAAUUUAAAAUUUAAAAUAAAAAUAUGUAAAGUAGUAUUGUUACAUAAUAAUGUUUUCAAAAUAAUUGUUUGUACAAAAAUACAAAUUUAUAGUAAUAAUAUAUAAGCCACAUAAACAUAGCUAUUAUAAAAAUACAUAAUAUAAAACACUUAAUUGCAUUAAGUUAUUUGUAAAUUUUGUUAUACUCCCUCUGUAUACAAAUAUAGAUGUUUUAGUUUUUUUUCUUUGUAUACAAAUGUAUGAUGUUUUACUUUUAACUAAUGAAAUUUUCUUUAAAAAUAAAAUAUUAAUCAAAAUGUAAAAAUUUAAGUGGUUGAAUUUUUAUUGGAAAUCAAAUAAAACUUUAAACUAACUAAAAUAAAAACCAAAAAGUAAUAGAUAAAAAUAAAUAUUUAAUUUCUCUUAAUAUGUGUUAACAACCUUACACAUCCUAUAUUUGUAUCAAGAGGGAGUAUAAACUAAAAUAUUUAAGUAUAGAAAUAAAAAACCGCACUAAUUCCGUAGCUUUUAUUUAAGGAAAUAAAAAAAUAUUAUUUUGUAAACUAUUAAUUAAUUUGAUAGUUAUUUUAGUUAAAAACAUAGUAUAUAUUUAUAUGGACCAACUUAUUUUUUUAAGAAUUCUAAGAAUCACGCUCUUGAUGACACGUGGCUACGAAUAUGUUGUAAUGCUCAAUGAUUUAUAUAUAGGGGAUUUUUCCCAUAAGCAAUUUUACUUAGGUUUGACCAUUUUGUCAACAACUUAUUAUAACACAUUAACUUUAGUUUCUGGAAAUAUUUACAUUCUUAGGAAAAAAACUCAAGUAACCGAAGAUCGGGGAAGCAUUGCAUUAACAUGGGAAUAUGUGUAUUUUUGAUGUUUAAUUCAUAGUAAAUCCCGUUAUUCAUCAAAUUUGCAUGCAUGCGAAGCUAAGCAUAAUUUACGGGUACACAUGACAUUGAUGGAGCUUUCCCAAUUAUAAAAACCGCACCGACGACCUCAACAAAGUAAAACAAUCAAUUAAACACAAUUAAAAAAAAAAUGACGUUUGCUUCAAAGAUCAUCACAUGCCUCCUCGUCCUUACGAUCUACAUUGCAGCUCCAACAGAGUCACACAUAACGUGUGGGACAGUGACAAGCACAAUGACACAAUGCAUCAGCUACUUGACCAACGGUGGUCCAUUGCCGUCAAGCUGCUGUGUGGCAGUCAAAUCAUUGAACCAAAUGGCUCAGACCACACCAGAUCGCCGACAAGUAUGUGAGUGCCUUAAAUCAGCCGGUAAGGAAAUUAAAGGCCUCAAUAUCGACCUUGUGGCCGCACUCCCUACCACUUGUGGUGUUUCACUUUCCUACCCCAUUGGUUUCAACACCAAUUGUGACAGGUACUUGUCCAUAUAUAACUUUGUUUUUGGUUUUAUAUUAGAUCGUUUUGCUUCUUUCUAGAUUAUCGAUAUAAUUUUCACAGCUGUUUCCACAGUAUAUCUUGAAAGCUAGUUCUCGAUCUACUUGACUCC
rnacentral:lncRNA from 1 species